rnacentral:rRNA from 1 species
CGGUGAAUACGUUCCCGGACCUUGCACACACCACCCGUCAAGCCAUGGAAGCUGGGUGUACCUAAAGUCGGUAACCGUAAGGAGCCGCCUAGGGUAAAACUAGUGACUGGGGCU